rnacentral:rRNA from 1 species
GAUGAACGCUGGCGGCGUGCCUAAUACAUGCAAGUCGAGCGAACAGACGAGGAGCUUGCUCCUCUGACGUUAGCGGCGGACGGGUGAGUAACACGUGGAUAACCUACCUAUAAGACUGGGAUAACUUCGGGAAACCGGAGCUAAUACCGGAUAAUAUAUUGAACCGCAUGGUUCAAUAGUGAAAGACGGUUUUGCUGUCACUUAUAGAUGGAUCCGCGCCGCAUUAGCUAGUUGGUAAGGUAACGGCUUACCAAGGCAACGAUGCGUAGCCGACCUGAGAGGGGGGUCGGCCACACUGGAACUGAGACACGGUCAAGACUACUACGGGAGGCAGCAGUAGGGAAUCUGCCGCAAUGGGCGAAAGCCUGACGGAGCAACGCCGCGUGAGUGAUGAAGGUCUUCGGAUCGUAAAACUCUGUUAUUAGGGAAGAACAAAUGUGUAAGUAACUAUGCACGUCUUGACGGUACCUAAUCAGAAAGCCACGGCUAACUACGUG